GAGUUUGAUCAUGGCUCAGGACAAACGCUGGCGGCGUGCAUAACACAUGCAAGUCGAACGAAAUCUACAUGAUUUAGUGGCGAACGGGUGAGUAACACGUGAGAAACCUGCCUUACACAGAGGGAUAGCCGUUGGAAACGACGAUUAAUACCUCAUGACACCGUGACAUCGCAUGAUGAUGCGGUCAAAGAUUUAUCGGUGUAAGAUGGUUUCGCGCCUGAUUAGCUGGUUGGUGGGGUAACGGCCUACCAAGGCGACGAUCAGUAGCCGAUCUGAGAGGGUGGACGGCCACAUUGGGACUGAGACACGGCCCAAACUCCUACGGGAGGCAGCAGUGGGGAAUUUUGCACAAUGGGGGAAACCCUGAUGCAGCGACGCCGCGUGAACGAAGAAGGCCUUCGGGUUGUAAAGUUCUGUCCUUGGUGAAGAUAAUGACA
rnacentral:rRNA from 1 species